rnacentral:rRNA from 1 species
UAGGGAAUCUUCCGCAAUGGGCGAAAGCCUGACGGAGCAACGCCGCGUGAGUGAUGAAGGUCUUCGGGUCGUAAAACUCUGUUAUUAGGGAAGAACAUAUGUGUAAGUAACUGUGCACAUCUUGACGGUACCUAAUCAGAAAGCCACGGCUAACUACGUGCCAGCAGCCGCGGUAAUACGUAGGUGGCAAGCGUUAUCCGGAAUUAUUGGGCGUAAAGCGCGCGUAGGCGGUUUUUUAAGUCUGAUGUGAAAGCCCACGGCUCAACCGUGGAGGGUCAUUGGAAACUGGAAAACUUGAGUGCAGAAGAGGAAAGCGGAAUUCCAUGUGUAGCGGUGAAAUGCGCAGAGAUAUGGAGGAACACCAGUGGCGAAGGCGACUUUCUGGUCUGUAACUGACGCUGAUGUGCGAAAGCGUGGGGAUCAAACAGGAUUAGAUACCCUGGUAGUCCACGCCGUAAACGAUGAGUGCUAAGUGUUAGGGGGUUUCCGCCCCUUAGUGCUGCAGCUAACGCAUUAAGCACUCCGCCUGGGGAGUACGACCGCAAGGUU